GUGAAUCAUCAAAUUUUUGAACGCAAAUUGCACUCUCUUCGGAGAGUAUGCCUGUUUGAGGGUCAGCCUAAAAAAAAUUGAAGUAGUCGCUGUUUCGCGGUGACCUUCGUCGGAAAUUGGGUCAUCUUAAACCUUUGGGUUUUUUAAGCGGCUUAAAAUUUUCUUUACGUUUCCACGAACGUUUCUAUGAUUUUACUUCUUACACACGUUUAAGGUAUCGAUCUUUAUUAGACGUGACAGUUGCAUCGGUUCGCGUUCAUCAAUAUUUCGUUAACUGACCUCAUACUGGUAAGUACAC
rnacentral:misc_RNA from 1 species